CAGCAUGCACCUCCCUCCCGAGACGCUCUCUGCUUCCGGCGCUCUGCUGCGGAGGCGGUGGCCGCGGGUUUUUGGGAGGAACGGUUGUUUGCGCUGGGGAAGGCGAGUUGCGAGCUCUCCAGCGUCGCUGUCAGGCGGGGGAGAAGGAGGCUUAACCCCUUUGCCACCUAAUAGGGCUUUUCAUCCCACCGGGCCCCAGGGCUUAGGAGUUCAGCAGGCUCAGCACCUUGCUGAGUCUGGAAAAGAGAGUGACCGCCUGGGACGUCAGACGGCCCCGAGGGAGGGGCUUGUGGGAGCGGCGUCGCCGGGAUGGCCGGGCACGUGGUCCUGGUGGCCGUGGUGACCCCGUGGACCCACAUUUACAGCUGUAGCCACCGAGUGCGGCGGAGUGGUGAGGGUCGUGAUCCUGGGACCUGCUCGAGGGUUCACCCUUGCUGCCAGAACCCGUUCCCUUCUCAGGAACGAGGGUGGUCAGGCAGAGGAGAGGAACGGGGCCUCAGCCCUCUAGUGACAGCAGUUUGCCACCUAAUAGCGCUUUUCAGAUUUUGCCUCCUCAGGCCAUUUUACCCAGCCUCGGGCUAUGAGGGAUGGUCACAUUGAAGGUAUUUUUCUGCAGUCGGGAGCGAAAACUCCCUACUAUUGAAGGAGAAACUGAAUCUGGUUCAGGAGUCCCAGAUUCCGCCCUCCGAGAGGCCAGGUGGGGCCUGCGUGAGGAGCAGCUGUACAGGUGGCUGUACACUGCUGUUUUCAUCCCGCCAGGCCCCAGGCCCCUGAUUAGGGGCCCAGACUGCUUAUCUCCUUGCUUCAGUCUGGAAAAGGGAGUGACCCCAUAGCCCAGCACCUGUGAGAUACUUCACUGCCCAUUCAUCACCCCUAUGAUGCUGAUUCUUCCAGAAGAUGUUUCUGACUCUUUGCUAGGCUGGUGGUUGCACCGGAGCCGAGAGGACUCAAGAAGAAUCUGCUCUCUGCUUCACCUAGGCGUCCCGGAGAAGUAAGAAUCCAUGUCUUCCCUGUCCUGGGUACUUGGCUGCUGGUUUGCCCAGGUGCCACAUAGGGGUGUGUAGCAGAGCUGAGGCUGGCCCAGUAUCCUGGCUUUCCUUGGAAGCCUGUGUUGUGCCAUUCUCCCAGGCUGAUAAAAUCUGCAGAGCUAACAGCUUCCUGCAGCCACCUCUGUGUCCAAGGCUGGACUCAUGCCCGUAGCCAGAUUCCCAGGAUCUGGAAGGCCAAGAGACAGCUGGUGCCGGGUUGGCAGCAGCCCUGCAUCAGCACGCCCGCUGCCAGCACCCCAUGCUGGGAUUUGCCUGUGUGGUCUGCCCCCGCCCAAACCGGUAUUGAAAUUUGAUCCCCAAUGUGGCAGUGUUGGGAGGUGGUGCCUAGUAGGAGGAGUUUGGGUAAUAGGGUGGAUCCCUCGAAGAGAUGAGUACCCUGUGUGGAGGGGUGAGCCCCCAUGAGAGCUGGUUAGAGAGGCAGCCUUCCUGGAGUUGUCUGUGGCUUUCUCUGCUGCCAUGCCAUCUCCAUGCAUGCCCCUCCCCUUCCAUUUCUGCAUGAGUUGAAGCAGUUGCAGCUGCCCAAUCUUGAAAUUUCCAUCAGAAUUUUGUGCCAAAUAAACCUGCUUUGCGUUUUUCUAAACAACUGUUCAGCCUCGGGUAUAGCAGCAUGAAACAGACUAAGACAUUAUGGCCUGUGGUCCCAUCCAUUACCCCAGGGUGCAGAGGUGUUCCCUCAGCCAUGAAGGACGACAUUCCCCUCUGGCCCCUGGGGUACCUCGAGGGGUUGUAAGCAGCUUAUGUUGGUGGGAUGAGAAGGGGUUUGGAGGGCAGCUGGUUCAUGACCCCAGCCACCUCAACUGCAGGUUCUUGGUCUGAAGUACUGUGAUUAAAGCAUCACAGCCCCGGGGCCCUUGCCAAAGGAGGGAACAGCAUCUGGUGCCUCAGUGAGGGUUAUAGGAAGAUGAAGGGCCUUCAGGCAUGACUAGUUCCCACCGUGACCCCACUGCUGGCUGGUGCACUGAAAUACAUCUGACCACUUGUUUCUCAAGUUCAUGGGUGCUGAGGAGCCCUGUGAAAUCAGCCCUAUCUCAUCCUGCUGCCCGUCUUGUUCUGCAGGGAAAUGUUCCCUGGCUUCCUCACCAGGGAUCUCUUCUGAACUUUACGUCUCUGUUCAGGGGGCAAUAACUGUGUUGGUCAUUGCAUUCUCAUGGC